UCUCUCUCCCGUCCCGUUAAUUCAUAGCUCUGCCUCACUGCCUCCGUCGUUCUCCUCUCUCACGUUAACCCCCUCUCUUUAAAAGGAGUGUCUCACGCGCAGUCCUCCAUCUCGCACGCGCCACCAACCACCCAAUGGCCUCCCCACCGACGCUCCCUAUGUCGAACCCCUCGCAAUCAUCCCCGUCCCCAAUUGCCACACCCGCCUUUCGCGCCUUCCUCUCACGGCUCUCGUCCUCCAUCCGCCACGGGUUAUCCCACCGCCGCCCGUGGUCCGAGCUUGUCGACCGGAGCUCCAUGGCUCGACCCGAUUCACUCACCGAGGCAUACUCUCGGAUCCGCAAGAACCUUUCCUAUUUCCGCGUCAACUACUUAACCCUCCUCGCCCUUGUCCUCGCCCUUUCCCUGCUUUCCCACCCUUUCUCCCUCGCCGUUCUCCUCUCCCUCUUCGCGGCCUGGGCUUUCCUCUACGUCUUCCGGCAAUCCGAUCAGCCUUUGAUCGUUCUCGGCCGGACCUUCUCCGGCCGGGAAACCCUUCUCGGCCUGUCCCUUUUGACAGUCAUCGUGGUCUUCCUCACCAGCGUCGGAUCGCUUCUCAUCUCGGCUUUGAUGAUCGGCUUCGCCAUCAUUUGCGCACACGGUGCGUUUAGGGUUCCCGAUGAUCUCUUCCUCGAUGACCAGGAGCCUGCCAAUACCGGGCUCCUCUCCUUCCUCGGCGGCGCCUCUGCGUCCGCUCCAGCAGUUGCCUCCCGCGUAUGAACCAGAUCUUGACCUCGCUAGCCACGUCACAAGAAAUCUGUGCUCGAUGGAAACCAGACUACCUGCUCUCCCCAGAUGAUACUCUGCUAGUGCUAGAAUCACGCUUAUCUUGCUUGGCGCUGCAUAAGCCUUUUUUUUAUGGUGCUUUUCUGGAACUCGAGUUUAUGUAUGAUCUUUUUGCAAUUCAAGAUUGCCGCUGGGUUUUGCAAAUUUGAUGCCAAGGAUCCGGCUGCAAGAAUUUUGUCCAGGCUCUUCGUUACUGUAAGCAACAUGAUGCUCAGGCUAAUAUUGAUAUGGAUCGUACUUGUUUUUGCAAUCGAAGCUGUGAUGAGCCCUUUCCCGCUUCUCUUCUUUUGCUUUUGAGCUCGUACGGAUGAGUUGACUGCGCAGCUUUUACAUACAAGUUACAACAAAAUUGAGAACCCUAAGCUUGAUUUUUUUGGCCUUUAAGCUGUUCUGCUAUUAUUAUUCUCUCUUGCUUUUGUGUUUAUAUGAAGCAACAAAAGAGUGGUAUUGGUGGUCC